GUGUGUGGGGGGAGGGUGGAGGGUGGAUGAGGGGAUGAGAUGAGGAUGAGAAAUCAGACUCGGCUCACUCCCCUCCCACCUCCCUCUCUCACGUUCACUCGCUUGUUUGUUGACUGAUUCCAUAUAAUCUGACAUGACA
rnacentral:misc_RNA from 1 species